GUCCACGCCCUAAACGAUGUCAACUGGUUGUUGGGAGGGUUUCUUCUCAGUAACGUAGCUAACGCGUGAAGUUGACCGCCUGGGGAGUACGGCCGCAAGGUUGAAACUCAAAGGAAUUGACGGGGACACGCACAAGCGGUGGAUGAUGUGGUUUAAUUCGACGCAACGCGAAAAACCUUACCUACCCUUGACAUGUCUGGAAUUUUGCAGAGAUGUGAAAGUGCUAGAAAGAGAACCAGAACACAGGUGCUGCAUGGCCGUCGU
rnacentral:rRNA from 1 species